ACGACGACGGUGGAGAGCCGACGACAACGGCGCGCGGCUGCUCCGCCCGCAGCCUGAAAGAGAAGAGAAGAGAGAGAAAAGAAAAGAGAAGAGGAGAGAAGGAGAAGAAAAGAGAAGAAAAAAAAUGUGCAGCUGACAUAUGGGCCUCACGUGUUUUUUUAAAUUAUUUUGCUGACUAGGAUAUACCACAUCAGCAAAACCCGAUAAAGACGACAUUGCGACGAGGAGAGAAAUAGCCGCGUCAAGGCUCGCCUGGGACGAAGGCACGAAGCUUCUAUUAGUCCAGAUUCCGCUGAGGCCCACUUGCGGAAACGGCCCACGGAAACGGCCCAUAGAGAUGGACGUGGGAUGAACAAUGAUGAACUCCUCCUAUGGGCGGCGGCGGCGGCGGGCGGCGGGCCUAUCCAACUACGGAAGCAAUCAAGCUAGCCACGCCGGCGGCUUUGCAAGUUCGCAUGGCCGCAUUCCCAACUCGACGGCGGGAACUGACUGCUCGCCGCCGCCCGGUCAGCAUCUAGCCAUCCAGGGUAAUGGUAGUUGGAAAAGACCGAUCAAUCUUGCUUGCUGCGGCUGUAAUAACCCAAGGAGCUGUAUUGAAAAUAACUUGUGGUCGAGGGCCAUCGUUUCCCCCAGCAUAAACAAUGGUAAUCCCCUUCUGGACUGCAUGGAGUGCACCAAAUGAAUCCUCAUCAGCAUGAAUUGAGAGGGACAGGAUAUCAACUCCAUCAUGAAUUGCAUCAUCUAGAGCUGCUAGCACUCCGGCACUAGCAAGCUGUAGGCUAUUCCCUGUGUUCCAUAUGACCUUAUACACAGCAAGACGUGCUCGGGGUGCACCUCCACGGGCUACUCCUGUUGCUAGGCCAUGGACGCUGACUCCAUCUACCACUGCACCAGCUGCUAUGGAUGCUGUAUGCGUUCCAUGCCCGAUCAUGUCCCGGGCAGACAUGUAAUUCUUCUUAAAGUCAGCUUUUUCUAUACCUGCAGCAUAGUACCGUGCACCAAUGAUUUUCCUGCUGCAGUUGGUUGGCCCCCAGGCCUGUCCUAGUUGACACACGCCCUUCCAUCGUGAUGGUAUUGGUCCGUAUCCAUGAUCACUGAAGCUUCUUGAUUCAGGCCAGAUACCUGCAUCAAUUGCAUAUGUUUUCCAAUUUACGCAUUAAGGAUUUUGCAAGAAUUUGUAUGGCCAAGGUCUUUUCAGAUGAUUUGGUGAUAUUGUACUAACCAGUGUCAAUCAUUCCAAUAAUUACAUCUUCUCCAUAUUUGCUCCUCUGCAGAAGUUUAUUGGGUGGUUGGUAGUUCAGUCCGAGGAAAUCCCAACUUCUUGUGGUCAGCAAUUCAUGUUGCUUAUUUGGGGUAACACUGAUCACUUCAGUGUGGGAGUCAGACCUACUGUCGCCAUCAUGGGAUUCAGGUAACCGCAUCAACAGCAAUUGCAGCUGGUCAAAGCAGUAGCUAUUCAAUCCUAGGAACGUUUUAGGAUCAUUUGGUCAUUAGGAUUUGAUUAGUUACAUUCUCACAAUGAUAGUUGCUUUCCUUAUCUUUAUACUUCUCUGUUUAUGAAGAGAUGUUCACAGUGAAAAACAACUAGGCAAGGAAGAAUAAACAAAGUCUCUAAUCUUCUUCCCAGUUCAGCAAUAAACCUCAAAGCUUCUGUACUGCAGUUGGGAAGAAUUCUGCCGGUGGUUAGAUGGAAGUGAGCGUCCUACCCUUGGUCUCAACUCUCAAACCCAUACCAUGCACAUAACAAACAUGACUGGUAAAUUUAGCACUGAGUUAGUCAAGUUAACUUUUGUUAGCUAAACUCAGUUCACCUGCAAGAUUAUCUGCUUGCUCCUCUGUUAGCAUUGCUGCAAAGCCUGAGAAGCCAUGUUUGUAGCUGUAAGCAAUGGAGGCCAGCGCCUCUUCCUUGCUGAAACAAAGUGGUAAGCCAUGAGAAACAACACCGAACAUGUUUAUAGUUAGUUAUAAAAUGAAGUGUUUGGAGUUGUUGAAGCAAAUAGGCAGCUCAUAAAAUAAUAUUGGUGUUGAGAAGGUAAGAACUAAAACACCCCAAAGCAAAUAAACUCCUUAGAUUACCUUCCAAGAACGCUGGUGAGCAUGUCAUGGUGUGAGGCAGUGACAAGAGUAGGGUCAUCAUAUUUCUUCUCGCCCAGAUAGGCAAUGUACAACUAUGCAUAUAUAGAGAAGCAGAGAAAACAUCUUUGACCACCAAAUCUGCAUACAAAAUAAGAUGUAGGGUGAUGCACUGUGCAUACCUUGCGAGAUCCAUAUAUUCCUCUGAUCAUCAAAAGCCAUACACAAAAUAGGAGGAAAGCUGGAAAGCGCUGAAAUGGAGAGUGCAGAAUCAUGUUGGGACUUCUUAU